AGAGUUUGAUCCUGGCUCAGAUUGAACGCUGGCGGCAUGCCUUACACAUGUAAGUCGAACGGCAGCGCGGGAGCAAUCCUGGCGGCGAGUGGCGAACGGGUGAGUAAUACAUCGGUACGUGCCCAAUCGUGGGGGAUAACGCAGCGAAAGCUGUGCUAAUACCGCAUACGAUCUACGGAUGAAAGCAGGGGAUCGCAAGACCUUGCGCGAAUGGAGCGGCCGAUGGCAGAUUAGGUAGUUGGUGAGGUAAAGGCUCACCAAGCCUUCGAUCUGUAGCUGGUCUGAGAGGACGACCAGCCACACUGUGAGUGAGACACGUCCCAGACUCCUACGGGAGGCAGCAGUGGGGAAUUUUGGACAAUGGGCGAAAGCCUGAUCCAGCCAUGCCGCGUGCAGGAUGAAGGCCUUCGGGUUGUAAACUGCUUUUGUACGGAACGAAACGGUCUUUUCUAAUACAGAGGGCUAAUGACGGUACCGUAAGAAUAAGCUCCGGCUAACUACGUGCCAGCAGCCGCGGUAAUACGUAGGGUGCAAGCGUUAAUCGGAAUUACUGGGCGUAAAGCGUGCGCAGGCGGUUAUGUAAGACAGUUGUGAAAUCCCCGGGCUCAACCUGGGAACUGCAUCUGUGACUGCAUAGCUAGAGUACGGUAGAGGGGGAUGGAAUUCCGCGUGUAGCAGUAAAUGCGUAGAUAUGCGGAGGAACACCGAUGGCGAAGGCAAUCCCCGGACCUGUACUGACGCUCAUGCACGAAGGCGUGGGGAGCAAACAGGAUUAUAUACCCUGGUAGUCCACGCCCUAAACGAUGUCAACUGGUUGUUGGGUCUUCACUGACUCAGUAACGAAGCUAACGCGUGAAGUUGACCGCCUGGGGAG
rnacentral:rRNA from 1 species